UCUAUACAUUUCCCGCUCCCAGUCCACCCGUCAUAUCGAAAUGUGUCGCGGAAGGUUCAGCCCUCCCGCGUUAUUGCUAAAUUCCGCCAGGCUAACCCGAUAUAUGUCAAUGACAGUGCUCAUAAAAACGGGAGAACGAGGAACAAGAUCAAUGUCAGGUUACAACAGUACUGACAGAAUAAAUAAUUAUUCAGAAACACAUUGUGUAGCGGGGCCAACAAUAAUCAUCAGCACCGCCACACGUUAGCUUAUUCCAUUGGAUGCGAAGGAACACCCCAGAACAACGCCGUACAGUUUCGAUCCUGUUAUAAUAGUACAACUAUAACGGAGAAGAUUCCCGCAACAAUCUUCUUACUUUCUUUAGACAAUUCCUUUAAUGGGAAGACCACUGCACGCAUUACAAGGAUUGAGUUAUCACCCAGUGUCGACACACAGUAUCGACCAAAGUGAUGGCGAUCACAACUCUAUAAACAACCACCACAGUAUUAUACCGAGGCAGUAUUUAAGUCUGCCCAGCUGUCAUAAAUACCUUUUAUAUUGAGGUUAUAAAAAGCGGCAGUGCACGGGGAGUAUAUUUUACUUUUAUAUAUCAAUCAAUAAUACAAUUCCAUGCUACUCAUGGCCAGACGAACUCAGUAUUUUGUUAUUACUGUUAUUAUUAUAUCAGUCAAUCAAAUAUAUAUUAUAUUAGCCUGUGUUAAGUUUAUAUUUAACAAUAUUUAUACCGUAAUACCUGUGAGUGUAUACUACAGCCAAUUAUUUCUCUUUUCCAGGUUUAUACACUUAGUGCAUUGAGAGUCGUCACUAAAGUCAAAUAAAUAACUACAAUGAUCCGUCUCAAUGCAGCAGCAAUUAAGUUUAGUAACGUCGCAGCUGAUCUGCAACCAGUUCAGGCAUAAGACAGGUCGAUCAAAUUAUCACCAUUAAUUACAAUAUAUGCUCGCAAUUACACAGAAAUUGCGUGUCAUGCAUCCAGUACGCAGUACCAAAAUCAACCAAUAAUCCUAUUAUAAUAUAUAAGGAGAGUAUUUAUUCACAAUUAUUAUCGUGAAAUAUGCCUCGAUUCGAUAAAAUAUAUAAAUUAUCACUAUUAAUUACAGUAAUUAUAUCACCGAGCUCAUUUUAAUUUAGUUAAUUUAAGUAAAUUAUUGCCCUUACGCAAGAAAGAAACUACUAGCUAUAUUUAUUCACUUAUCUGUCUAUUUACUUAUUGUCUUAUAUAUACACAAUAUAGGCA
rnacentral:lncRNA from 1 species